rnacentral:lncRNA from 1 species
AAGCAAAACCAAUUUAUGGUGCCAACAAAAGCUUCAUCAAAGGAGUUCAACCACAAUUCUCAAAAGCUUCACACUCUUGAUCAAGACAGUGUGAAGCAAAACCAAUUUAUGGUGCCAACAAGAGCUUCAUCAAAGGAGUUCAACCACAAUUCUCAAAAGCUUCACACACUCUUGAUCAAGACAGUAUGAAGCAAAACCAAUUUAUGGUGCCAACAAAAGCUUCAUCAAUGGAGGGCAACUACAAUUCUCAAACCUUCGAA